GCGAGCGCAUGGGUUAUGGAUACAAUCGCCCCCUUGGAAGCGGCAUAAGCCUCGGAGCCUGGUUCAGACAUCAAGGCGCGCGUA
rnacentral:tRNA from 1 species